GAACGCUGGCGGCGUGCCUAAUACAUGCAAGUCGAGCGAACGGACGAGAAGCUUGCUUCUCUGAUGUUAGCGGCGGACGGGUGAGUAACACGUGGAUAACCUACCUAUAAGACUGGGAUAACUUCGGGAAACCGGAGCUAAUACCGGAUAAUAUUUUGAACCGCAUGGUCCUAAAGUGAAAGACGGUCUUGCUGUCACUUAUAGAUGGAUCCGCGCUGCAUUAGCUAGUUGGUAAGGUAACGGCUUACCAAGGCAACGAUGCAUAGCCGACCUGAGAGGGUGAUCGGCCACACUGGAACUGAGACACGGUCCAGACUCCUACGGGAGGCAGCAGUAGGGAAUCUUCCGCAAUGGGCGAAAGCCUGACGGAGCAACGCCGCGUGAGUGAUGAAGGUCUUCGGAUCGUAAAACUCUGUUAUUAGGGAAGAACAUAUGUGUAAGUAACUGUGCACAUCUUGACGGUACCUAAUCAGAAAGCCACGGCUAACUACGUGCCAGCAGCCGCGGUAAUACGUAGGUGGCAAGCGUUAUCCGGAAUUAUUGGGCGUAAAGCGCGCGUAGGCGGUUUUUUAAGUCUGAUGUGAAAGCCCACGGCUCAACCGUGGAGGGUCAUUGGAAACUGGAAAACUUGAGUGCAGAAGAGGAAAGUGGAAUUCCAUGUGUAGCGGUGAAAUGCGCAGAGAUAUGGAGGAACACCAGUGGCGAAGGCGACUUUCUGGUCUGUAACUGACGCUGAUGUGCGAAAGCGUGGGGAUCAAACAGGAUUAGAUACCCUGGUAGUCCACGCCGUAAACGAUGAGUGCUAAGUGUUAGGGGGUUUCCGCCCCUUAGUGCUGCAGCUAACGCAUUAAGCACUCCGCCUGGGGAGUACGACCGCAAGGUUGAAACUCAAAGGAAUUGACGGGGACCCGCAUAUGCGGUGGAUCAUGUGGUUUAAUUCGAAGCAACGCGAAGAACCUUACCAAAUCUUGACAUCCUUUGACAACUCUAGAGAUAGAGCCUUCCCCUUCGGGGGACAAAGUGACAGGUGGUGCAUGGUUGUCGUCAGCUCGUGUCGUGAGAUGUUGGGUUAAGUCCCGCAACGAGCGCAACCCUUAAGCUUAGUUGCUAUCAUUAAGUUGGGCACUCUAAGUUGACUGCCGGUGACAAACCGGAGGAAGGUGGGGAUGACGUCAAAUCAUCAUGCCCCUUAUGAUUUGGGCUACACACGUGCUACAAUGGACAAUACAAAGGGCAGCGAAACCGCGAGGUCAAGCAAAUCCCAUAAAGUUGUUCUCAGUUCGGAUUGUAGUCUGCAACUCGACUACAUGAAGCUGGAAUCGCUAGUAAUCGUAGAUCAGCAUGCUAUGGUGAAUACGUUCCCGGGUCU
rnacentral:rRNA from 1 species